ensembl:snRNA U5 U5 spliceosomal RNA
AGACAUUGGCUUCUCUUCAGAUCAUAUAAGUCUUUUGCCUUUUACUAAGGAUUUCCACCGAGAGGAGCAGUUUUGAGCCUUAACCCUUUCUUUUUUCUGUUUUUGAGCCUUUGCUAUAAGGGAGGCUAAAAGCAA